UCCAGUUUGCCAACACUCUGGUGCCAAGUGUCUGCCAUAUUUGGUUCCUAUUUUGGUGCAAACAAGAUCAAUCUGUUUCCUACUCACCAUGGAUGAACAUAGUGAUUCCACUGGUCCAUUUCAGAUCCAGACAU
rnacentral:snoRNA from 1 species